rnacentral:rRNA from 1 species
UACGUAGGGUGCAAGCGUUGUCCGGAAUUAUUGGGCGUAAAGAGCUCGUAGGCGGUUUGUCGCGUCUGCUGUGAAACUCGGGGCUUAACUCCGGGCCUGCAGUGGGUACGGGCAGACUAGAGUGCGGUAGGGGAGACUGGAAUUCCUGGUGUAGCGGUGAAAUGCGCAGAUAUCAGGAGGAACACCGGUGGCGAAGGCGGGUCUCUGGGCCGUAACUGACGCUGAGGAGCGAAAGCGUGGGGAGCAAACGGGAUUAGAAACC